AAAAACCUCACGACUGACGUCACAAAACUACGAAGACCUAAAUGUAAUUUUAGGGAUACGCGGAUACAACGYGGCCUCAUUAAUAUUCAAAUUCAAAGUUUCUUCAGGAAGUGGAUACGCGGAUACGCGGAUACAACGCGGCCUCAUUAAUAUUCAAAUUCAAAGUUUCUUCAGGAAGUGGAUACGCGGAUACGCGGAUACGCGGCCUCAUUAAUAUUCAAAUUCAAAGUUUCUUCAGGAAGUGGAUACGCGGAUACGCGGAUACAACGCGGCCUUAUUAAUAUUCAAAUUCAAAGUUUCUUCAGGAAGUGGAUACGCGGAUACGCGGAUACGCGGAUACGCGACCUCAUUGAUAUUCAAAUUCAAAGUUUCUUCAGGAAGUGGAUACGCGGAUACGCGGAUACGCGAACUCAUUAAUAUUCAUGAGCUAUUCAUGCGCCUAUAUUUUUCUUUCCCGAUGUAAUGAUGGAAAAUCAAUAAUGGUUAAAUUACAACAUUAGCCCCAAUCCACUAAAACAGAAAAUGGUUUUUGCCUGUGCUGUUUUCGAAAAGAUUUUUCUCUACUGCUGUGCAAUCACAGGUAGCUCAAACUUAGCACUUUUCGGCUUUUCUCCGAGGGUCUUGUAGAGGAAAACCAAAAAUUCAAUAAAAGUUGGAAMCGAUGAAGAAAUGCUCCUCGAUGCAAGACACAUUUUUAUUAUCGCACAAUGCAACGAUGAUGAAGUCCUACAAAUACAAAUCGUGACACAAGGAUAAUGUAAACACGWCCUUACAAUUAAAACGGAACCCAAUACAAAUAUAUAAUAGUAAUACACGAAGUAGAUACAAACUGACUUACAAUAUAGAAGGCUAGUCUUGGGCAGAACUAAACAAAAUGGCCGUCUCACUUGAGCCGGUCARCGGUCUUAUUAGUUACUAGGCCCUAGUGGCCCAAGUCAGUGUCUCAAUCAGUCAACAUUAAGAAAAAAAGGCGGUUUAUUUCACUGUAGAGAGCUGAAACUUCGCAUAGACCGACAAGUGCUGAGUUUGGSCUACCUGUGGUGCAAUCAAACAUGUCUGCAAAGCCCGAUUAGGAUCCAUCGAUCCAGAGAUAAAGAAUACUCCUUUCCAUCGCGAAGGGCCUGUUGUAGGAUUUGAAAACGAGAGGACCAUCAAAGCUACUCUGGUAUUAUGCCUACUUAUCUCUUCAACGAGAUCUUGAAAACGUUGCAGCUGAAGAAAGAAAAGGUUUUAUACAAUCAAAAUGAACAAUUGAUGAACCGGCUAUUUGACUUUUCGAAAAAAAAGUGGUCAAAUUCCCCACCAUAUGGUCAAAAUUGACAGUCAAGUGCCCACACUAGUAAAAGCAAAUGAGUGGUCAAAUGCCCGCCCCAUAAGUCAGUUUUUUUACGCUAGUUUUCGAGUGUUUUUGUUGCUUUUUAUAUCGUGAUUUCUCAUCGUGAAAGUACAAAAGAUCGAGAAUGUUCCCAAACAUGAUUGUUAAAAGGUGCCUAUAGGCUCACGUAUGGCCGCUCAUGUUGUAAAUAUUACAUACAUCAUGGAUUAAAUGUACGAAUGCACUGUAGAGUAAGAAAAGCGAGCGUUAAACAACAUACCUUAAAGAUAUUUACGCUUCAUAGAGAGCUAUUCAUCUUUAAUUUUAAGUGGAUGCAUAAAUUAGCUUAAUUUAAUACUGAUCAGAAUAUUAAACUGCACGGCAAAACACAUAUCAUUGGCUAGAGAUCCAUACUUUUAUUAUUGAACAUAUUUCAUAAAAUUACAUUCAACAUUUCAAUAAUAAAUAUCAAAAUUGAUUGGCUAUUCCAGUAUUUUAAGCCUUAAAUGUCACUAAAUUUGUGCACACUCAUGCCAUGUACUCAUAUCAAGCCWUAACAAURACCAUWGGAAUGUAUGUUAUAACUUUUGUAACAUAGUUGUAAAAACUUUUAAUGGUAUGAUAAGUCAUUCCAAUAUGUUUGCUUCAAAAUAGAUAGUUACUUAUUGCCUUGAUGACACUGGUCUGAAUCCUUGGACUAUAUAUUCCAAUAAAUUACAUGCAACAUUUCAAUAAUAAAUAUCAAAUUGAUUGACUAUUCCAGUACUUGCCAGUACACGUCAUGAACUCAUAUCAAGCUAUAAAAAUAAUCAUUGGAAUUUAUGUUACAUCUUUUGUAUAUUUAUAACAUUAUGUUUGCUUCAAAAUAAAAAUGUGUCUUGCAUCGAGGAGCAUUUCAUUUUUACUUUGAUGACACUGGUCUGUAUCCUAGGACUAAAAUGUCAAUAAUUAUGCUUAAAUUAUAAAUAGAAAUAUGUGCUUGGAAAGAUAAAUAUCCAAACUGAUCAUUUGCAACCAACAGCAUUAAUUUACAAAGUCCUUUGCAUUUUGAUGUAAUAUUUGAUGAUUAUAUGUUCAAGUCUAUUGUUCAGCUUUGCAUAGGGAUAAAAUCAAAUAAAAUUACAUUUGUGACUUUGUACUCUAUCCAAAGCCAUGCACCCUGACAAAUUUCCCAUAAGUUUCAUUCAAUGAUGUCUAGUUUUAAAGAAAUAUAAUUUGCACAAAAUUGUAAUUAAAUAAUAUUAAUCCUUAUAGGAAAACGUUUUUGAAUAAUAAAUUUCUAAAAUGUUAUUGUCUUAAGCUGCAGGAAAACGCUGUAAAUAAACUGUAAAAUUUGUCUGGUUA